rnacentral:rRNA from 9 species
AGACCCGAAACCCGGUGAUCUAGCCAUGGGCAGGUUGAAGGUUGGGUAACACUAACUGGAGGACCGAACCGACUAAUGUUGAAAAAUUAGCGGAUGACCUGUGGCUGGGGGUGAAAGGCCAAUCAAACCGGGAGAUAGCUGGUUCUCCCCGAAAGCUAUUUAGGUAGCGCCUCGUGAAUUCAUCUCCGGGGGUAGAGCACUGUUUCGGCUAGGGGGCCAUCCCGGCUUACCAACCCGAUGCAAACUGCGAAUACCGGAGAAUGUUAUCACGGGAGACACACGGCGGGUGCUAACGUCCGUCGUGAAGAGGGAAACAACCCAGACCGCCAGCUAAGGUCCCAAAGUCAUGGUUAAGUGGGAAACGAUGUGGGAAGGCCCAGACAGCCAGGAUGUUGGCUUAGAAGCAGCCAUCAUUUAAAGAAAGCGUAAUAGCUCACUGGUCGAGUCGGCCUGCGCGGAAGAUGUAACGGGGCUAAACCAUGCACCGAAGCUGCGGCAGCGACGCUGAUGCGUUGUUGGGUAGGGGAGCGUUCUGUAAGCCUGCGAAGGUGGCCUGUGAGGGUUGCUGGAGGUAUCAGAAGUGCGAAUGCUGACAUAAGUAACGAUAAAGCGGGUGAAAAGCCCGCUCGCCGGAAGACCAAGGGUUCCUGUCCAACGUUAAUCGGGGCAGGGUGAGUCGACCCCUAAGGCGAGGCCGAAAGGCGUAGUCGAUGGGAAACGGGUUAAUAUUCCCGUACUUGGUGUUACUGCGAAGGGGGGACGGAGAAGGCUAUGUUGGCCGGGCGACGGUUGUCCCGGUUUAAGCGUGUAGGUGUGUGUUCCAGGUAAAUCCGGUUCACUUUAACACUGAGGCGUGA